AGCAGCGCGAUUUACAACGCGAUGCAGGUGCUUCUUAUGAAGUGUGAGAAUCGGGAAGUUCUUGUGCAUGAAGCAAGACUUUAAGUUUAAAAUCACAAUGGAACCACUGAGCAGUGAGACUAAGUAUACUCGUCAGGCUUACAUCUGAAGACCAAACAUCUGUUGUGAAGUUCAUCGCGGAGUGGUUAUGAAGAAGCUCGUGAAUAUGAUCCGUCAUACGGUUGUAUAACUCCGAAAUCAACUCUGAUAGUGUCACCCCUUUGGUGGAACGCACCAUUAGGAGUGACUGAUCUAGAUCAGACUGAGCGACUUUCCAGUAUCGGCAGAAGAUCGUCGGUGAGGAUGCAUCAUCUUCAGUCCUGGAUUUGUUCCCUCGUUUCCUUGCUGUAUCUGGAUUGAUCGACCAGGAUUUCUCCAUGAUGUUUGGUGACGAAGUGUCUCAGAAGUUCCUGGCAAAGUGGUCAACAUUCUUCAAGCCAAAAAUCAUUGCAGACUGCAAGACUCUUAAGAAUAUGGGCUAGCUGCUGUCAGGAACUGAACCUGAAUCUGAGGACUACAAUGGUCAGUAUAAACUGUUUUGUAUUUUAAAAAUGUUCCAGUCUUUAAAAAAAUAAUUAAAGGCACUGCCAGAAAAAACAACAGCAGAGGAAAUUUUUUGGGUCACAUCAGAAUAUCUUGACCAGGGAGGACUUACAUGGGAAAAUUGCACAAGUGUUUGUACUGAUGGAGCUGCAGCCAUGGUCGGGCACACCUAAGGCUUUGUUAGCAGAGUGAAGGAAAGAAACCCAGAUCUUAUUGUUACACACUGUUUUCUGCACCGUGACCCCUUCGUUGCAAAGACUUUACCAGCAGAACUAGUUCCUGUGUUGGAUGAUGUGCGCAUAGGGAACUUUGUAAAGACACAACCUUUGAAAAGUCGUAUAUAUUUGCAUCUUUGUGUGAGGAAAUGUGAGCGGAGCAUAAAGCCUUAUUGCUCCAUACGGAGGUCCGAUGGUUGUAGCGUGACAAGUUGCUGGCCCGUGUGUAUGAGCUGCGGGAGGAACUUAAAGUGUUUCUGACAAAUGAGAGGUCUGAUUACUCAAAUCUGUUUGCAAGUGAUGAGUGGUGUGCUGUUGUGGAUAAAAAUGACAUUAAAUAAACAUGAGGGAGACUUAGUAUGAGUAAAAAUGUAAUUUUAUUGGUAAUUCACAGGACGGGUGGGUGCGUAGUCUGGAGGAGAGCGAGAGGGGGAAGAAAAUGGGGUGCGUCCUGGGGACAUGGGGAAAUCAGCGAGGGUGAAGUGAACGGACCACUGAGUCCAGUAACGGAGAGAGAAGGGACUGACGACGGGCACCGGCACCUAGACAUACAGAAGCAGUUUUAGUCAGAGGUGGAUAAAUUGGAAAAACACUUUAAAGAUCUUUAUGGGUUGUUAGUCAAAAAGUCAAAAGAAGUGUACGAGCUGAGGAGUGCUAAAAAACACACACACACACACACACCCUCGUACAGUCAAGGGCGGGCAAGUAGACAUAAUACACACACACACACAAUCUCUCUCACACAUACUAUUAUAACUUUAUAAGAAUAAUAAAAAGGAAUAUUAAGAUAUUAUAAGGGUAAUGUCUUAUAAUAAAAAGUGUAUAUAUAUACUUUUUAUAAAAAUGCUAUUAAGAAGUAGGACGUACAGUAAACCGGUUUUUCAAGCAGCAUAUAUAAUAAGAGAUAUAGAGUAAAUCUGAAAAUAAAAACUAGAAAUACAGGAAAAUAUAACUUACUCAUGAUUCAGAUGGUGAAGAUUCUCGUCUCGAAAGGAAGGCCUUAAUUUUAAGAGAACCAUGAAGAGAGCCAGUUAUAAGGGUGGCUGGGUCAAACUGCCCCCCCCCCCCUCGAGAUAACAAUAAGACCAAGGUCCCAUUAGA